rnacentral:rRNA from 1 species
UACGUAGGGUGCGAGCGUUAAUCGGAAUUACUGGGCGUAAAGCGUGCGCAGGCGGUUUGCUAAGACAGGUGUGAAAUCCACGGGCUUAACCUGGGAACUGCGCUUGUGACUGGCAGGCUAGAGUACGGCAGAGGGGGGUGGAAUUCCUGGUGUAGCAGUGAAAUGCGUAGAUAUCAGGAGGAACACCGAUGGCGAAGGCAGCCCCCUGGGCCUGUACUGACGCUCAUGCACGAAAGCGUGGGGAGCAAACAGGAUUAGA